GACAGAGGGGGCAAGCGUUGUUCGGAAUUACUGGGCGUAAAGGGCGCGUAGGCGGCCUGCUAAGUCGAACGUGAAAUCCCUGGGCUCAACCCAGGAACUGCGUCCGAUACUGGUUGGCUUGAAUCCGGGAGAGGGAUGUGGAAUUCCAGGUGUAGCGGUGAAAUGCGUAGAUAUCUGGAGGAACACCGGUGGCGAAGGCGACAUCCUGGACCGGUAUUGACGCUGAGGCGCGAAAGCCAGGGGAGCAAACGGG
rnacentral:rRNA from 1 species